AGAAUCAACGCUGGCGGCGUGCCUAACACAUGCAAGUCGCACGAGAAAGGGUAGCAAUACCUGAGUACAGUGGCGCACGGGUGAGUAACACGUGAAUUAUCUACCUCCGAGUGGGGAAUAACUGAGAGAAAUCUUAGCUAAUACCGCAUAACACUUACGAGUCAAAGCAGCAAUGCGCUUGGAGAGGAGUUCGCGGCCGAUUAGUUAGUUGGCGGGGUAAUGGCCCACCAAGACGAUGAUCGGUAUCCGGCCUGAGAGGGCGCACGGACACACUGGAACUGAAACACGGUCCAGACUCCUACGGGAGGCAGCAGUGGGGAAUUUUGCGCAAUGGGGGAAACCCUGACGCAGCAACGCCGCGUGGAGGAUGAAAUAUCUUGGUAUGUAAACUCCUUUCGAUGGGGAAGAUAAUGACGGUACCCAUAGAAGAAGCCCGGCUAACUUCGCGCCAGCAGCCGC
rnacentral:rRNA from 1 species